GAGCCUCUGAACUGCCAAGGUAGCCACACACACUGCAUACAAUAAAUAUACUCGCUCAAGACUCCCAGCUGCAGAACACUUCCCUCCCCUCCUCCUUCCCCCCAUAAACUAUGGCUUUGACAACAGAUGGAGUAAUUUCCAUAGAAGUACAAGCAGCAGAGAUUAAUGACCUUUUCAGCUGCUCUUAGAUACAAAAGAAGACACCUUUGAAGCUUUAAUAAUAACCUUAAGAAGAAACCUCCUCAGGAGCAUGUACAGUUCAAAACAGUUUCACACUUUCCUCUCUUGAGUGAAGCUGUUCUAGAGUAAGCUGACGUGAGCAUUACAAGUAUCCGGUUUUACCUGAAAAAGGAGCUACCUGACUGACAAGCAGACCCUUAAGAAGCUGAGCUCCAGAAAAUUUAAGGAGGUAGAAUGUUUUGUUCCCUCUUUCCUCCGACUUCAAAGGCAAAAAUCAGUGGACUUGCUAGAUGUGUAAAACUGUGGUGCUCUAUGCAGUUCCAAGAGCCAGAAUUCAAAAAGGUAUUAUUUCGAGCCCUGCUAUGUACCCGAAAAGGCUAACAUUAAUUUUACAGGUACAGAAUCCCCCAAGAAACAUUGGACCAGUUCUGAAACACUCUUUCUUUUUAAGGAUCUUUACAGCAAAAUUUAGGAGAGAUACCAAAAACUCCACAUGCUUUGCAACAGCUUGACCUCCAAAAUACAGAUUGUUUCACUGCUACUUGAGUUCAAAAACGCACAGUAGUGCCAAGCCCAA